GACGAACGCUGGCGGCGUGCUUAACACAUGCAAGUCGAACGGAAAGGCCCUGCUUUUGUGGGGUGCUCGAGUGGCGAACGGGUGAGUAACACGUGAGUAACCUGCCCUUGACUUUGGGAUAACUUCAGGAAACUGGGGUUAAUACCGGAUAGGAGCUCCUGCUGCAUGGUGGGGGUUGGAAAGUUUCGGCGGUUGGGGAUGGACUCGCGGCUUAUCAGCUUGUUGGUGGGGUAGUGGCUUACCAAGGCUUUGACGGGUAGCCGGCCUGAGAGGGUGACCGGCCACAUUGGGACUGAGAUACGGCCCAGACUCCGACGGGAGGCAGCAGUGGGGAAUAUUGCACAAUGGGCGGAAGCCUGAUGCAGCAACGCCGCGUGCGGGAUGACGGCAUUCGGGUUGUAAACCGCUUUCGCCUGUGACGAAGCGUGAGUGACAGUAAUGGGUAAAGAAGCACCGGCUAACUACGUG
rnacentral:rRNA from 1 species